rnacentral:rRNA from 1 species
CUUAGUGGCGGACGGGUGAGUAACGCGUGGGGAACCUGCCCUGUACAGGGGGAUAACACUUAGGAAUAGGUGCUAAUACCGCAUAAGCGCACAGUAUCGCAUGAUACAGUGUGAAAAACUCCGGUGGUACAGGAUGGACCCGCGUCUGAUUAGCUGGUUGGCGGGGUAACGGCCCACCAAGGCGACGAUCAGUAGCCGGCCUGAGAGGGUGAACGGCCACAUUGGGACUGAGACACGGCCCAAACUCCUACGGAAGGCAGCAG